rnacentral:rRNA from 1 species
GUAGGGGGGGCGAGCGUUGUCCGGAAUUAUUGGGCGUAGAGAGCUCGUAGGGCGGCUUGGGUAACGUCGACCGUGAAAACCAGAGGGCUCAACCUCUGGAUGUCGGUCGAAACUGCCAUGGCUAGAGUCCGGUAGAGGAGAGUGGAAUUCCCGGUGUAGCGGUGGAAUGCGCAGAUAUCGGGAGGAACACCAGUAGCGAAGGCGGCUCUCUGGGCCGGAACUGACGCUGAGGAGCGAAAGCGUGGGUAGCAAACAGGAUUAGAUACCCUGGUGGUCCACGCCGUAAACGUUGGGUACUAGGUGUGGCGUUCUUUUCAACGAAUGCCGUGCCGAAGCUAACGCAUUAAGUACCCCGCCUGGGGAGUACGGCCGCAAGGCUA